GAUGAACGCUAGCUACAGGCUUAACACAUGCAAGUCGUGGGGCAGCAUGAAGGAAGCUUGCUUCCUUUGAUGGCGACCGGCGCACGGGUGCGUAACGCGUAUGCAACCUACCCACUACAGGGGGAUAACGGAGGGAAACUUCCACUAAUAUCCCAUGGUGUUGUUUUCCCGCAUGGGGAGACAACUAAAGCUUCGGUGGUAGUGGAUGGGCAUGCGUGACAUUAGGUAGUUGGCGGGGCAACGGCCCACCAAGCCGACGAUGUCUAGGGGAGCUGAGAGGCUUAUCCCCCACACUGGUACUGAGACACGGACCAGACUCC
rnacentral:rRNA from 1 species